CACACAGUAAACGAUGUACACUAGGUGUAGGUUUUUAGACAAGUCUGUGCCGCAUUUAACGUAAUAAGUGUACCGCCUGGGAAGUAUGCCCGCAAGGGUGAAACUCAAAGGAAUUGACGGGGGCCCGCACAAGCGGUGGAGCAUGUGGUUUAAUUCGAUGAUACGCGAGGAACCUUACCUGGGUUUGACAUCAACAGGAAAUGUAUAGAGAUAUAUAUGCGUAGCAAUACGCCUGUUGACAGGUGC
rnacentral:rRNA from 1 species